CAUCACGUUGUAUCACAUGUUGCCAUACGAUGACCGUAGUUAAGCAACGUUGGGCCUGCUCCGUACCUAGAUGGGUGACUGCUUGAGAAUACCAGGUGUUGUG